rnacentral:lncRNA from 1 species
UGUAAUUCUCCAAAUUCCUCAACAACUUGGAAAGGAGCUGUCAUUGUAUGCUACAUUUUUUUGGCGUUCCUGACCAGAUUCUCUUUACGUCUCUGUAGUAGUCAGAAUUCAUGUUACCGAGCUGUUAUACCCAUCGCAGCUAGUUCCUCUCUCUCAGAUCACGAAAAGAGUUACACAUUAUCAAAACUGAGUGCAGGUGAAGGCACUGGAAGAUAAUACCUUAUUCAACGCUGGUAAAGGCUCUGUGCUGACGAAUAAGGGCACCGUAGAGAUGGAGGCGAGUAUAAUGGAUGGGAGAACAAAAAAUUGCGGUGCCGUUUCUGGACUGUCCACCGUUGUUCAUCCCGUCUCACUGGCUCGAUU